CUGAAAUAGUUUCUGCAUUUAUUUGAGCCUGGAUAACAAACGUUUCGUCAAUUGCAUAAUAUUUCCCCAGGGUGUGUUGAGUGUGCUCAUUGCUCAUGUUGCGGGAAGGGUGCUGCUCGUUUAAUAUUCUGUCGGCAUCUUUAUCGACCAUACAAAUUGGAUGUUGCCAACGGUAAACCGUACGAUAUAUUUCAAGCUUUGGAAAAGGUAUCAAAACACGAAAAAAAAAUGUACAUAUCGAUAUAUGGGAGAUGUAUAUCAAAGACAUAAUAAAAGAAAUUUUUGUGAUGAAAAAACACAACACGAAAGCGACAAACAAUCUCGCCAAACGGCUACCGAUACUAUCGACUGGAUACGAUCAGUGCGCGCCAAAGAGAAGUUGUUUAAAAGUGAAUGAGUGAGAUAUAUAAGUAUGCAGAAAUGAAGUUUAAGUAAUUGUUUAAAUUGAUUA
rnacentral:sRNA from 1 species